UCCGAAUUGGUGUAGUGGCCAACAUUUGGUGCUCUCAUUACGAUAUAUCCAAUAUCUAAGUGAUCCGCCAAGCCCGGGGUUCGAUUCCCCGAUUCGGAG
rnacentral:tRNA from 1 species